UACGUAGGGGGCGAGCGUUAUCCGGAUUUACUGGGCGUAAAGCGCGUUAAGGCGGCCGGCUGAGUUGGGGGUGAAAUUUCGGGGCUCAACCCCGAAACUGCCUCCAAUACUGGUCGGCUCGAGUGCGGGAGAGGAAGGUGGAAUUCCCGGUGUAGUAGUGAAAUGCGUAGAUAUCGGGGGGAACACCAGUGGCGAAGGCGGCCUUCUGGCCCGCAACUGACGCUGUAGCGCGAAAGCGUGGGGAGCGAACGG
rnacentral:rRNA from 1 species